rnacentral:misc_RNA from 1 species
GAAAUGCGAUAAGUAAUGUGAAUUGCAGAAUUCAGUGAAUCAUCGAAUCUUUGAACGCACAUUGCGCCCGCCAGCAUUCUGGCGGGCAUGCCUGUUCGAGCGUCAUUUCAACCCUCGAGCCCCCCCGGGGGCCUCGGUGUUGGGGGACGGCACACCAGCCGCCCCCGAAAUGCAGUGGCGACCCCGCCGCAGCCUCCCCUGCGUAGUAGCACACACCUCGCACCGGAGCGCGGAGGCGGUCACGCCGUAAAACGCCCAACUUUCUUAGAGUUGACCUCGGAUCAGGUAGGAAUGCCCGCUGAACUUAAGC